UUGUAAAUUUUUCGUGUACUUUUUGAUCAUUUUUAAUUCUUACAUAAUACUAUUUAAUUAACUUUCCACUCAAUUCUAGAAAAUUACUAUCAUCUUAAUCACAUAUUUUUUGAUAUAAGGGCUGAAAAUCUAUCUACACUAAUAACUUGUAUUUUUAAAAGUAUAGAAGCUCAAUUCAAUUUUGACAAUAUAAAUAUUCAGUUAUUACUGACCGUCACUAAUGCAAGUAGCAACAUAUCAAGUUUGAAACCAAGUUGAUUCACAUUUUUAAUCAAAUGCACCAUUUCAAAUAUUAUAGUUGAAUUCACAUAAAGCUAAAACUGCAAUACAACAAUAAUUGUUCAUAGUCAAAUAAUUUGUAAGUGCAAAAAUAAAUUUAUAUAUAGACAUUAUUUUCUGCGCAAGUUAUAUACUGCUUCUAAUAAAACUCUUCUAAAUUCUCAUAGUAUAAAAGAAUUAACUUGAUGUAGAUCUUAUAUGAAUGCUCAUUACAUUAAAAACUUUAUCAUUCUAUAC
rnacentral:lncRNA from 1 species